AGACAGAGAAAAAGAGAAAACAACAACAAAAAUGAAGCAACAGUAAACUGCCAACUCCAACUGCCUUUCUGGAAGGCCUAAUUUGAGGAUGUCUGAAAUUCUGUAUCACUGGUUCCCAGACAUAUCAUGUUUAUUUGUACAUCACACCUUUGCCCACCUCUGCUCAGUGGACCUCCAGCCUAAAAUGCCUCCCUUGUUCCUCUGUCUCACUUCAGCUGUUAUUGAAGUCUCCUGAUACAAUGUGACAUUUCCAGCAUCUUGUCUUCCAAUCAGAUCAGUGGCUCUCAGUGGACCAACUGAUAAGGAACAUCUGGAAAAUGUUACAAUGAUUGAGGGCUGUACUGGUAUUUGGUGGGCAGGGAAUGACAAUGUCCUGUGAUGUAUCCAUCACAAUGGAAAAUUAUCUGAUGUCUUCAGCAAAUAACAGCAGUCCUGCCAGACAAAAUGAAGGUGAAAAUUCAUUUAUAAUUGCCUAAGUUCAGAGCUUCUCUCUGUUUUACAUACAAGUACAAGAAAUGUUUGGCACAGUUUUAAUGUAUACUGAAUUACAGGAAUCCAAUUACAAUAUAUUUUGCUUAACGUAGA
rnacentral:antisense_RNA from 1 species